GUCCACAGUCUCAGUACUUAUUUGUCUCCCGGGCGCCCCGCCAUGUUGCGGGGGACGGACCCUGCUCCCCACAGCCACAGAGCCGGCUCCCACAGUAUUUAUUUUAAACAUAUUUACUUAUUAUUAUGUUGUUUGAAGGAGAGAGAGAGGGAGAGACUGCAUCCACUGCUUCACUGCCCCAAUGGCCACAACGGCCGAGGCUGGAGCCAGGAGCCCAGCGCUGCACCGGCGGGCUGGACGGGAAGUGGACCGGCCAGGACUUGCGCUGGCGCUCUGAUGAGGAUGCUGGCGUCGCAGAAGGAAGUCUGGCUGCUUACUGCCCCCUGGGUCGGCGUCCGCCCUGCCCAGGUCCUAGCCCGCUCAGACGCCCUGAGAUGCUCCGAGCCCAAGCUCUGCUCACAGAGUCCAGGGGACACGCUCAGCACCGCCCUUUGCAGUGCUAGGACCACACACUCAGAAAAGGCCCUGGGGCCCCAGCGGCACCUCCUGGCUCCCCAGCUCAGGAGCAAGGGAUGUGAGGAGGCGCUGAUGUUCAGAAAGUCACCCAGGAGCCCCCAGACCCGCACCCUGUGGUGUCUCAGUGAUGCCGCGGCCAGGUGGACAAGGCCGGAGGCAGAGGGCUGCUGCCUUGGGAGGCGUCCCUGAAGACAAGACACAGGUCAUUGAGGCAGCAGUGGACACAGCUCUGGGACACCCACAUCCACACCAGAGGGCCUGGGUCCUCCCCAGCUCCACUUCCGGUUCCAGCUUCCUGCUGAUGCGCACCUGUCUCUCUCUAAGAAUAAAAAGACACAAUUUAAUUGGUGCUUCAGAACCCUGGCUCGCCCCAGGCUCGUGGUAGGGGCAGCUGGAGGGCCCUGAACCCCUUCCUCCUCCCACCCUCCAGAGGAGGGCUGACGUAGGGGCUGGGGCUGCGCCACAGCAGCAGGGGGCACAGCAGAGCUGGCGUGACCGGUGCCACGGGCUGGGGCUGAGGCCUCGG